rnacentral:tRNA from 1 species
GGGGAUAUGGUGGAAUUGGUAGACACGCUGUCUUGAGGGGGCAGUGGCGAAAGCCGUGAGAGUUCGAAUCUCUCUAUCCCCACCA